AGAGUUUGAUCAUGGCUCAGAUUGAACGCUGGCGGCGUGCUUUACACAUGCAAGUCGAACGGCAGCAUGCCUAGCAAUAGGUGAUGGCGAGUGGCGGACGGGUGAGUAAUACAUCGAGACAUACCUUAUAGUUGGGGAUAACUCAUCGAAAGAUGAGCUAAUACCGAAUAAUCUCUGAGGAGGAAAGCUGGGGACCCGCAAGGGCCUGGCACUAUUAGAGUGGUCGAUGGUCGAUUAGUUAGUUGGUGGGGUAAAGGCCUACCAAGGCGAUGAUCGAUAGCUGUUCUGAGAGGAAGAUCAGCCACACUGGGACUGAGACACGGCCCAGACUCCUACGGGAGGCAGCAGUGGGGAAUUUUGGACAAUGGGGGCAACCCUGAUCCAGCAACGCCGCGUGAAUGAAGAAGGCCUUAGGGUUGUAAAGUUCUUUUGUCUGGGAGCAAAGUGCGUGGGUUAAUAACCUACGUAUAUGAGAGUACCAGAAGAAUAAGCACCGGCUAACUACGUGCCAGCAGCCGCGGUAAUAC
rnacentral:rRNA from 1 species